UGUCCAAGAGAAAGGGUUAUUGUCUCAUAUAGCGUUCUGUCUUCAACCUAUUUGGUUUUAAUUUUCGAAAUAUGGUGUGGGCCUGUUUGCCAGAGUUUGAGCAUAUGAUAGAUACCGCGGGACCAUCCAGUCAGGACCGUUGCACCCGAGAGUUGCUUAAUGAGGUUUUUUUAAUUUUUAUUUUUAUUUUUUAUGUUUU
rnacentral:lncRNA from 1 species